GCAAUCGACCAUAGGACAUGGAAAGCAGGGCUUCCCGUCCGCUCAGCUGUACUUAAGCCAUGUGCCGGUCAGUUAGUACUAACGUGGGUGACCAGUUGGGAAUCCUGACUGUUGAUUGUU
rfam:Cladophialophora psammophila CBS 110553 aczJe-supercont1.21, whole genome shotgun sequence.